GAUGAAGAACGUAGCGAAAUGCGAUAAGUAGUGUGAAUUGCAGAAUUCAGUGAAUCAUCGAAUCUUUGAACGUACAUUGCGCCCCUUGGUAUUCCAUGGGGCAUGCCUGUUCGAGCGUCAUUUGUACCUUCAAGCUUUGCUUGGUGUUGGGUGUUUGUCCAUUCUCUUGCAGAGGGACUCGCCUUAAAGUAAUUGGCAGCCAGUGUUUUGGUUUUGAAGCGCAGCACAAGUCGCGAUUCAACGCUAUACGCCAGCUUCCACAAGCCUUUUUCACUUUUGACCUCGGAUCAGGUAGGGAUACCCGCUGAACUUAAGCAUAUCAAUAAGCGGAGGA
rnacentral:misc_RNA from 1 species